GCGGACGGGUGAGUAACGCGUGGGUAACCUGCCCUGUACACACGGAUAACAUACCGAAAGGUAUGCUAAUACGAGAUAAUAUGCUUUUAUCGCAUGGUAGAAGUAUCAAAGCUUUUGCGGUACAGGAUGGACCCGCGUCUGAUUAGCUAGUUGGUAAGGUAACGGCUUACCAAGGCGACGAUCAGUAGCCGACCUGAGAGGGUGAUCGGCCACAUUGGAACUGAGACACGGUCCAAACUCCUACGGGAGGCAGCAUG
rnacentral:rRNA from 1 species